rnacentral:rRNA from 1 species
GACGAACGCGGCGGCGUGCCUAAUACAUGCAAGUAGAACGCUGAAGGAGGAGCUUGCUUCUCUGGAUGAGUUGCGAACGGGUGAGUAACGCGUAGGUAACCUGCCUGGUAGCGGGGGAUAACUAUUGGAAACGAUAGCUAAUACCGCAUAAGAGUAGAUGUUGCAUGACAUUUGCUUAAAAGGUGCAAUUGCAUCACUACCAGAUGGACCUGCGUUGUAUUAGCUAGUUGGUGAGGUAACGGCUCACCAAGGCGACGAUACAUAGCCGACCUGAGAGGGUGAUCGGCCACACUGGGACUGAGACACGGCCCAGACUCCUACGGGAGGCAGCGGUAGGGAAUCUUCGGCAAUGGACGGAAGUCUGCCCGAGCAACGCCGCGUGAGUGAAGAAGGUUUUCGGAUCGUAAAGCUCUGUUGUAAGAGAAGAAACGAGUGUGAGAAGUGGAAAG